GGUGGCAGCAGUGGGGAAUAUUGCACAAUGGGGGAAAGCCUGAUGCAGCCAUGCCGCGUGUAUGAAGAAGGCCUUCGGGUUGUAAAGUACUUUCAGUUGUGAGGAAGGCAGUUUAGUUAAUAGCUUAGCAUUUUGACGUUAGCCACAGAAGAAGCACCGGCUAACUCCGUGCCAGCAGCCGCGGUAAUACGGAGGGUGCGAGCGUUAAUCGGAAUUACUGGGCGUAAAGCGCAUGCAGGCGGUUUGUUAAGUCAGAUGUGAAAGCCCGGGGCUCAACCUCGGAACCGCAUUUGAAACUGGCGGACUAGAGUCCUGUAGAGGGGGGUAGAAUUUCAGGUGUAGCGGUGAAA
rnacentral:rRNA from 1 species